GAUGAACGCUAGCGGGAGGCCUAACACAUGCAAGCCGAGCGGUAUUGUUUCUUCGGAAAUGCGAGAGCGGCGUACGGGUGCGUAACACGUGUGCAACCUGCCUUUAUCUGGGGGAUAGCCUUUCGAAAGGAAGAUUAAUACUCCAUAAUAUAUUGAACGGCAUCGUUUAAUAUUGAAAGCUCCGGCGGAUAGAGAUGGGCACGCGCAAGAUUAGCUAGUUGGUGAGGUAACGGCUCACCAAGGCGAUGAUCUUUAGGGGGCCUGAGAGGGUGAUCCCCCACACUGGUACUGAGACACGGACCAGACUCCUACGGGAGGCAGCAGUGAGGAAUAUUGGUCAAUGGGUGCAAGCCUGAACCAGCCAUCCCGCGUGAAGGACGACUGCCCUAUGGGUUGUAAACUUCUUUUGUAUAGGGAUAAACCUACCCUCGGGAGGGUAGCUGAAGGUACUAUACGAAUAAGCACCGGCUAACUCCGUG
rnacentral:rRNA from 1 species